AAGCAAAGCUGGGCUUGAAUCUAAUUACCGCUGUGGACCAGCAUUUGCUUCUCCAGCAAAGUGCUUACACGUUUCCUCUCCACGAAGUGCUAAGAGAAGUAAUAAGCCCUCUUGCUAACACCUCUGCAGAUUGCUCUAGGUCCAGCUCCCCAGCAGUGUUAUUGUAUCAUGCAGCCAACAGAUUCACGCCCCUUUCCGCUUGAAGAAGAGGAUUCAGAUGGUCCUAAAGAGGCACAGAUUUAGGAUUACGCUCUGGGGUCUUCUCUCAGAGACUGCCCUAUCAGCAGGUAUGAACCAUUAGAAAUCAGAUGAGACAGGCACUUUGUCCUCUGCGCUCCUCUGGUCACCUGUGGUGGAGUUUGCCGCUGCAGUUCUGCUGUAGUCAGCUGGCCCUGGCCUGGGGGAGAUGCAUCCUGCUGAUAUUUCUCAGCCAUAACGUCCUUGGCAGAAACACACUGCUUCCCCAUGGACAUGGGAAAAGAGAGUAAUGGCAAGGGGAGAAAAAGGCAGAAGACGUGUUUUUUUUCUCACUCAUCUUCCCCAGGAACAGAGAGGGUAUUCCCAAGGUUACCACAGAGCUGGCACCAAGGUGGUGAAUCCUCCCUGAAGAUGUCUUUGAAGCCUGCAGACCCCUGCAAGCUAUCACCCCGCUUCUGAAGCUGGGCUGGGCACAGAAACCGGCCAGACCCAUCAAAAUUUGUGUUUACAGGCUGCCCGAUCACCAGCGUCCAAAACAACAAGGUUUCUUGAAAUGAUGGGAGGAGAGGAGUGACGUGCUAGGAAACGGUACACUUGAAGCCACAGCUUUGAAAGAGGCAAAGUUACUCUCCUCAGCUCAGCACAUUAACUCGGAAACCUACUGAUAACCACAGAAACGCCUUCUCCCUUCGCUGUGCCUCUGGAAUUUCAGCUGGGAGGCUCGACCUGUAAAUCACGAGCACUGGGUGAGCUGGGGAAAACACAGGGCAAGGAGGAGAGGUGAGGGCAGAUGGAGGGCUGCAGCCAGACAAACAUAUUUAUGACAGGCAGGCACGGGGCUCUGCUGCAAGCCCUCGCUGCCCAGCCGGGAUUAGCAGGGUUUACAGCAGACUUAAUCCUCCAGCAGGCGCUUUUGGGAUUAUGCUACCGCUUCUUUCCAUCCUCCUCCUCUCUCAGCCUGAACAGACCUCCCUGGACAGCUGGAGGGACACAGCUGGCUGCUGUCUCUCCGUCCCGGUCUCCUCGGUACCCGGCGAUGCUCCCUGCUGAGGCCUGACCUGGGCUGUGCUAUUUUUUUCCACUGCUUUAAAGCUGCGCGGUGUCAGCGCUCGCCAAGGAGUUUAUUAACCUCGGAGAGGCCCCGAGCCUGCUCCACCAGCCGAGCGCGCGGCGUAGCAAAGGAGAUGGUUUGAUAUUCAAAUUCCAGUUCAAAGCAGAGGAGCCUAUGCUUAAAACGCAUCCAGGGGAGGCUGAAUUUGCAUCCCGGCUCUGAAAUGCAGAAUCCCAUUUCCAAUCCUCUAAUCACGGCAAGCAGCAUCUAAGCAAACAGGCAGCAGGGAGCCCCGAGGGGGUUUCAGCACAAAAGCUGAGGAAGGAGCUACGGAGUGGUGGCUCUCCUUGGCUGAAAAUAUGAGUGUGUUUCCUGCGUGCCCCUUUCUGCUCCCCCAAAUUCACUUAUUCUUAUGGAGGAAAAAAGAAAAAAAAAAUAAAACCAGCCCUGAAGCAUGCAGAUGCAUUGGGGACACCCAUCACCUCACAGUCCCUUCUGCACCUCACCCUGUGAGCUCCCAGCCCUGCUCUCACCCAUAAACUCUCAGCCCCCAGCACACGGCUCCAGAGGAGCCAUGGGGACUUUGGGUGCAUUAUUUGCUUCCCCCUCUUCGGCCAAACUGAAGGUAAAAACCUUUCUCCUUUGCCCCCGAAGUGGGAAGUAUCACCGAGUUCACUCGUGCCUGCCAAGUGCAGUGCAAGCCCCAGAAGGAA